CCAUGGGAGUCUGCAAUGCCCAAAGCCGGUGGCCUAACCUUCGGGAAGGAGCCGUCUAAGGCAGGGCAGAUGACUGGGGUGAAGUCGUAACAAGGUAGCCGUAGGAGAACCUGCGGCUGGAUCACCUCCUUUCUAAGGAA
rnacentral:rRNA from 1 species